AACGAACGCUGGCGGCAUGCCUAACACAUGCAAGUCGAACGAGACCUUCGGGUCUAGUGGCGCACGGGUGCGUAACGCGUGGGAAUCUGCCCCUUGGUUCGGAAUAACAGUUAGAAAUGACUGCUAAUACCGGAUGAUGACGAAAGUCCAAAGAUUUAUCGCCGAGGGAUGAGCCCGCGUAGGAUUAGCUAGUUGGUGAGGUAAAGGCUCACCAAGGCGACGAUCCUUAGCUGGUCUGAGAGGAUGAUCAGCCACACUGGGACUGAGACACGGCCCAGACUCCUACGGGAGGCAGCAGUGGGGAAUAUUGGACAAUGGGCGAAAGCCCGAUCCAGCAAUGCCGCGUGAGUGAUGAAGGCCUUAGGGUCGUAAAGCUCUUUACCAGGGAUGAUAAUGACAGUACCUGGAGAAUAAGCUCCGGCUAACUCCGUGCCAGCAGCCGCGGUAAU
rnacentral:rRNA from 1 species